rnacentral:rRNA from 1 species
CGGACGGGUGAGUAACACGUGGAUAACCUACCUAUAAGACUGGGAUAACUUCGGGAAACCGGAGCUAAUACCGGAUAAUAUUUUGAACCGCAUGGUUCAAAAGUGAAAGACGGUCUUGCUGUCACUUAUAGAUGGAUCCGCGCUGCAUUAGCUAGUUGGUAAGGUAACGGCUUACCAAGGCGACGAUACAUAGCCGACCUGAGAGGGUGAUCGGCCACACUGGGACUGAGACACGGCCCAG